AAAAAAAAAGGCGAACGUUGGGCUUCGGCCUGAUUUAGUAGUCUUUUUUUCUUUUAAACCCAUUCCUUAAUACUGAAUAUACUGUGGGGACGAAAGUCUCUGCUUUUAACUAGAUAGCAACUUUCAGCAGUGGAUGUCUAGGCUCGCACAUCGAUGAAGAACGCUGCGAACUGCGAUACGUAAUGCGAAUUGCAGGAUUCAGUGAGUCAUCGAAAUUUUGAACGCAUAUUGCACUUCCGGGUUAGUCCUGGAAGUAUGCCUGUAUCAGUGUCCGUACAUUAAACUUGACUUUCUUCCUUCCGUGUAGUCGGUGGAGGAGAUGUCAGAUGUGAAGUGUCUUGCGAUUGGUCUUCGGACCGGCUGCGAGUCCUUUUAAAUGUACUAAACUGAACUUCUCUUUGCUCGAAAAGUGGUGGCGUUGCUGGUUGUGAAGGCUGCUAUUGUGGCAAAUUGGCGACUGGUUUGUCUGCUGCGGCGUUAAUGGAAGAGUGUUCGAUUCGUGGUAUGGUUGGCUUCGGCUGAACAAUGCACUUAUUGGACGUUUUUCCUGCUGUGGCGUGAUGGACUGGUGAACCAUAGCUCGGUGGCUUGGCUUUUGAAUUGGCUUUGCUGUUGCGAAGUAGGGUGGCAGCUUCGGUUGUCGAGGGUCGAUCCAUUUGGGAACUUAAUGUGUACUUCGGUAUGCAUCUCAAUGGACC
rnacentral:rRNA from 1 species